rnacentral:rRNA from 1 species
GAUGAACGCUGGCGGCGUGCCUAAUACAUGCCAGUCGAGCGAACAGACGAUGAGCUUGCGCCUCUGACGUUAGCGGCGGACGUGUGAGUAACACGUGUAUAACCUACCUAUAAGACUGGUAUCACCUCGGGAAACCGGAGCUAAUACCGGAUAAUAUAUUGAACCGCAGGGUGCAAUAGUGAAAGACGGCUUUGCUGGCACGUAUAGAUGGAUCCGCGCCGCAUUAGCUAGUUGGUAAGGUCACGGCUUAUCAAGGCAACGAUGCGUAGCCGACGGGAGAGAGUGAUCGGCCACAUGGGAACUGAGACACGGACCAGAGUCCUAAGGGAGGCAGCAGUAGGGAAUCUUACGCAAUGGGCGAGAGCCUGACGGAGCAACGCCGCGUGAGAGAUGGAGGUCUUCGGAUCGUAAAGAUCUGUUAUGAGGGAAGAACAAAUGUGUAAGUAACUAUGCACGUCUUGACGGUACCUAAUCAGAAAGCCACGGCUAACUACGUG